AGCGAACGCUGGCGGCAGGCUUAACACAUGCAAGUCGAGCGGGCCCUUCGGGGUCAGCGGCAGACGGGUGAGUAACGCGUGGGAACGUGCCCUUCGGUUCGGAAUAACUCAGGGAAACUUGAGCUAAUACCGGAUACGCCCUUAUGGGGAAUGGUUUACUGCCGAAGGAUCGGCCCGCGUCUGAUUAGCUAGUUGGUGAGGUUAUGGCUCACCAAGGCGACGAUCAGUAGCUGGUCUGAGAGGAUGAUCAGCCACACUGGGACUGAGACACGGCCCAGACUCCUACGGGAGGCAGCAGUGGGGAAUAUUGGACAAUGGGGGCAACCCUGAUCCAGCCACGCCGCGUGAGUGAUGACGGCCUUAGGGUUGUAAAGCUCUUUUCUCCGGGACGAUAAUGACGGUACCGGAGGAAUAAGCCCCGGCUAACUUCGUG
rnacentral:rRNA from 1 species